UGUAUAUCUCUGGUGGCUCAGGUGGUAAAGAAUCUGUCCACAGUGUGGGAGACCCAAGUUUGAUCCCUGGGUUGGGAAGAUCCCCUGGAGAAGGAUAUGGCAACCCACUCCAGUAUUCUUGCCUGGGAAAUCCCAAGGACAGAGGAGCCUGGUGGGCUACAGUCCAUGAGGUCACAAAGAGUUGGAUACGACUGAGUGAGUAAAGACAACAUCUCAAUGGAAGGAGAAAGGCAAAAGCUGGUGACUCAGCCGUGAAAUUGAAAGACGCUUGCUCCUUGGAAGAAUGUGACCAAUUUCAGCCGUGAAAUUAAAAGACGCUUGCUCCUUGGAAGAAUGUGACCAACCUGGACAGCACAUUAAAAAGCAGAGACAUUACCAACAAAGGUCUGUCUAGUCAAACCUAUGGCUUUUCCAGUAGUCGUGUAUGGAUGUGAGAGUUGGACUAUAAAGAAAGCUGAGCACCGAAGAUUUGAUGCUUUCAAACUGUGGUGUUGGAGAAGACUCUUGAGAGUUCCUUGGACUGCAGGGAGAUUCAACCAAUCCAUCCUAAAGGAAAUCAUCCUGAAUAUUCAUUGGAAGGCCUGGUGCUGAAGCUGAAACUCCAAUACUUUGGCCACCUGAUGCGAAGAACAGACUCAUUGGAAAAGACCCUGAUGCAGGGAAUGAUUGAAGGAUCCGGCUGGACGCGCCAACUGGAUGAGAACGUGGACGAGCCUGUCGACCGCCUUCUGCGGCCUGGCUUGCUUCUGCUGCAGGCCGGCCACGUCCCGCCACGGGGCCUCGUCCUCUGCCUCAUGCGGGGCGGGUUGGGGUCCGUGCUCUCCUGCUUCCCCUUCAUCCACGGAAAGGCGGUCAGCAGCCUGGUGAUACUGUCCUGGCGAAGCUUUAUGUCCUCACUCCUCGGUGGACGCACGGUCACUUCCCUCCUGAUCGUUCUCCAGGAGCUACUCCUGGCCGCGCAGGAAGCGCGGUGCUGGCACUCGGGGUCAUCGACUCUGGCCUGACCCGGCUGCCGGUCUCGAUGAGGACCACCUUCCGGAAGCCACAGGGGUCGAGCAGCCGCACGAGGCUGGCCGCGCCUUGCUUGGGCACUCAGGCAGCCAGCCAGCCUGGUCGAGCACGUGGACACAGCUCCACGUGUCUGUCAGGGGUCGCUCAGGAGGGUCCACGGCUUGACCAGAAAGGCCGGAUCGUUGCUGGGCCCGCUUGAGCCAGGGACCGUCGGUGCGAUGGAGAUCCGUCUGACCGGAGGCAGCGCAGCCGCUGCCGGUAGCGGCCCCGCGACCGGCGGGGACCGCGUGGCCGC
ensembl:lncRNA